AUUGAACGCUGGCGGCAUGCCUUACACAUGCAAGUCGAACGGUAACAGGUCUUCGGAUGCUGACGAGUGGCGAACGGGUGAGUAAUACAUCGGAACGUGCCCGAUCGUGGGGGAUAACGAAGCGAAAGCUUUGCUAAUACCGCAUAAGAUCUACGGAUGAAAGCAGGGGACCGCAAGGCCUUGCGCGAACGGAGCGGCCGAUGGCAGAUUAGGUAGUUGGUGGGAUAAAAGCUUACCAAGCCGACGAUCUGUAGCUGGUCUGAGAGGACGACCAGCCACACUGGGACUGAGACACGGCCCAGACUCCUACGGGAGGCAGCAGUGGGGAAUUUUGGACAAUGGGCGAAAGCCUGAUCCAGCCAUGCCGCGUGCAGGAUGAAGGCCUUCGGGUUGUAAACUGCUUUUGUACGGAACGAAAAGACUCUGGUUAAUACCUGGGGUCCAUGACGGCACCGUAAGAAUAAGCACCGGCUAACUACGUG
rnacentral:rRNA from 1 species